rnacentral:lncRNA from 1 species
AAGAACCAAUUUUUUAAACAAUUGAAGCUGUGCUAUUUUACAUUUCUGUGGUAUCAACAGUUUCCUUUUUCUAUUUUCCCUUUGCUUUUUUUUUUUUUUUAAUUUUAAGACAGGAUCUCAUUAGGUAGCCUUUGCUAGCCCAGUGCAUAAUAUGAACCAGGAUGGCUUCAAACUCAUAGCAAGAUGUUUGCUUUUGCCUUCUAAGUUCUGGAACUAAAGGCACACUCCGUUAUGCUGAGCCCUCAGCAGCUUACAGACUUCCUCAGAUAAAUUUAAUGUCAAGUCAAGAUUAAACACUUCUGUCUUAGUAGUAAUGCUUUGUUUAUAUGUGUAUGUGUUCUGGGGGCUGCUAGGGAUGAAACUUGACCUUGUUCAUGGUAGACAAGAACUCUUCUACUGAGAUACACCCCCAGUCUUCUCUUAGACAAUCUUUCAUGACAUUUCCUAACCACAACCACCACAUUGGGCCAGCUUUCCACUCAUUCUUGAGUCAAUGUGUUUUCUUAUAGGGCUGGCAGUUUAGCUCAGUUGGUAGAGUGCUCGCUCAGCAUGUUCCAAGUCCUGGAUCAGAUCCUGAGCAGCACAGAAAAUUUCUUUGACUUGCAUGCCCAUGAUUCCAGAAUUUUGGAUGUGGAGGCAGCAGGCUCAAGAGUUCACUGUCAUUUGUACAACAAGCUGGAGGCCCCACCAUGGCAGUGCCUUAAGAGGAUUUUCUUAAUCUGGAAAGGCAAAAAACCCAGAAUAAUGAAAACUAUUCUUAACAAUAGAAGAACAGCUGGGAAAAUCACCAUCCCUGACCUCAAGCUUUACUACAGAGCAAUAGUUAUAAAAACUGCAUGGUAUUGGUACAGAGACAAACACAUUGGUCAAUGAAAUAGAAUUGAAGAACCAGAAAUAAAACCACACAUUUAUGGACACUUGAUCUUUGACAAAGAAGCCAAAAAUAUACAAUGAGAAAAAGAAAGCACCUUCAAUAAAUGGUGCUGGUCUUACUGGUUGUCUUUAUGUAGAAGAAUGAAAAUAGACCCAGCCUUGCACAAAGCUCAAGUCCAGGUGUAUUAAGAACCUCAACAUAAAACCAGAUACACUGAAUCCAAUAGAAGAGAAAGUGGGAAAGAGCCUUGAACUCAUUGGCACAGGAGGAAAUUUCCUAAACAGAACUCCAAUGGCUCAUACUCUAAGAUCAAGAAUUGAUAAAUGGGACCUCAUAAAACUGGAAAGCUUCUGUAAGGCAAAGGACAUAGUCAAUAAGACAAAUCAACAACAGACUGGGGAAAAAAACUUCACUAACCUCACAUCCAAUAGAAGCCUAAUAUCCAAAAUAUAUAAGGAACUCAAGAAGUUAAUCACCAACAAAACCAAACAACCCAAUCAAAAAUGGGAUAUAGAAUUAAACCAAGAAUUUACAACAAUGGAAUCUCGAAUGGCUGAGAAUCACCUAAAGAAAUGUUCAAAGUUCUUAGUGAUCAGCGAAAUACAAAUCAAAGUGACCCUGAGAUUCCAUCUUACACCAGUCAGAAUGGCUAAGAUCAAAAACUCAGGUGACAUCACAUGUUGACAAGGAAUACUCCUCCAUUGCUGGUGGGAUUGCAAACUGGUACAGCCACUCUGGAAAUGAACCUGGAGGUUCCUCAGAAAAUUGGAAAUUGAUGACCUGAAGACCCAGCAAUACCACUCUUGGGAAUGUAUCCAAAAGAUGCCCCACUAUGUCACAGGGGCAUAUGUUCCACUAUGUUCAUAGUGGCCUUAUUUGUGAUAGUCAGAAGCUGGAAACAAUCUAGAUGUCCCAUGACAGAAGAAUGGAUACAGAAAAUGUGGUUCAUUUACACAGUGGAAUACUACUCAGCUAUUAUGAAUGAGGACAUCCUGAGUUUUGUAGGGAAAUGGAUGGAUCUAGAAAAUAUCAUCCUGAGUGAACUAACUCAGACCCAAAUGGACAUGCAUGGUAUGUACUCACUAAAAAGUGGAAAUUAGCC